rnacentral:rRNA from 1 species
GCUUUAACCAGGGUGGCCGUAAUGGGUCUCUAUUGGUUGGAAGAGGGGUACGUGUGACUUAUAUAUCUGACCGGGACUGGGGGAUAACGUUCCCUAAGGAACGCUAAUACUACUUACGUCCUACCCCAGAAGGGGAAAGGGCUUCAUCCCUUGCCCUCUCACAUGAGCCUCGGUCGAUUCCGCUAUUUGGUGAGGGAGGGGUUAACCCUGGCCACGAUAACGAUCUGGUCUGAGAGGAUGAUCACUACCACUGGAACUGAGACUCAGUCCAGACCCCUACUCCUGGCAGCGGUGGGGAAUAUUAAUUUUGGACCGAAAGCCAAACCCUGCCCCGCCCCGUGUGUGUGGAAGGGCGUCGCCUUCUGAAUGACUAUAACUUGGGAGGAAGGGAAAAGGUAUAAUAUCCUGCAAUAUGUGUUACAAUAUAUUAAAAAUUG